UACGUAGGGGGCAAGCGUUGUCCGGAGUUACUGGGCGUAAAGCGCACGCAGGCGGUCUGUUAAGUUUGGAGUGACAGUUGGUGGCUUAACUGCCAAAGUGCUUCGAAAACUGAUCGACUUGAGGGCUUCAGAGGGACACGGAAUUCCGGGUGGAGUGGUGAAAUGCGUAGAGAUCCGGAGGAACACCAGAGGCGAAGGCGGCGACCUGGACAGAUACUGACACUCAACUACGAAAGCGUGGGUAGCAAACAGG
rnacentral:rRNA from 1 species